rnacentral:rRNA from 1 species
ACAUGCAAGUCGAGGGGCAGCAUUUUAGUUUGCUUGCAAACUAAAGAUGGCGACCGGCGCACGGGUGAGUAACACGUAUCCAACCUGCCGAUAACUCGGGGAUAGCCUUUCGAAAGAAAGAUUAAUAUCCGAUAGUAUAUUAAAACCGCAUGGUUUUACUAUUAAAGAAUUUCGGUUAUCGAUGGGGAUGCGUUCCAUUAGUUUGUUGGCGGGGUAACGGCCCACCAAGACUACGAUGGAUAGGGGUUCUGAGAGGAAGGUCCCCCACAUUGGAACUGAGACACGGUCCAAACUCCUACGGGAGGCAGCAGUGAGGAAUAUUGGUCAAUGGACGAGAGUCUGAACCAGCCAAGUAGCGUGAAGGAUGACUGCCCUAUGGGUUGUAAACUUCUUUUAUAUGGGAAUAAAGUAUUCCACGUGUGGGAUUUUGUAUGUACCAUAUGAAUAAGGAUCGGCUAACUCCGUGCCAGCAGCCGCGGUAAUACGGAGGAUCCGAGCGUUAUCCGGAUUUAUUGGGUUUAAAGGGAGCGUAGGUGGAUUGUUAAGUCAGUUGUGAAAGUUUGCGGCUCAACCGUAAAAUUGCAGUUGAAACUGGCAGUCUUGAGUACAGUAGAGGUGGGCGGAAUUCGUGGUGUAGCGGUGAAAUGCUUAGAUAUCACGAAGAA